rnacentral:rRNA from 1 species
GUGGGUGGCAGGCGUUGUCCGGAAUUAUUGGGCGUAAAGCGCGCGCAGGCGGUUCUUUAAGUCUGAUGUGAAAGCCCACGGCUCAACCGUGGAGGGUCAUUGGAAACUGGAGAACUUGAGUACAGAAGAGGAAAGCGGAAUUCCACGUGUAGCGGUGAAAUGCGUAGAGAUGUGGAGGAACACCAGUGGCGAAGGCGGCUUUCUGGUCUGUAACUGACGCUGAGGCGCGAAAGCGUGGGGGAGCAAACAGGAUUAGAUACCCUGGUAGUCCACGCCGUAAACGAUGAGUGCUAAGUGUUAGGGGGUUUCCGCCCCUUAGUGCUGCAGCUAACGCAUUAAGCACUCCGCCUGGGAGUACGGCCGCAAGGCUG